rnacentral:rRNA from 1 species
UGAGUGGCGAACGGGUGAGUAAUACGUGAGUAACCUGCCCUUGACUCUGGGAUAAGCCUGGGAAACCGGGUCUAAUACUGGAUACGACUCCUCAUCGCAUGGUGGGGGGUGGAAAGGGUUUCACUGGUUUUGGAUGGGCUCACGGCCUAUCAGCUGGUUGGUGGGGUAAUGGCUCACCAAGGCGACGACGGGUAGCCGGCCUGAGAGGGUGACCGGCCACACUGGGACUGAGACACGGCCCAGACUCCUACGGGAGGCAGCAGUGGGGAAUAUUGCACAAUGGGCGCAAGCCUGAUGCAGCGACGCCGCGUGAGGGAUGACGGCCUUCGGGUUGUAAACCUCUUUCAGUAGGGAAGAAGCGAAAGUGACGGUACCUGCAGAAGAAGCGCCGGCUAACUACGUGCCAGCAGCCGCGGUAAUACGUAGGGCGCAAGCGUUGUCCGGAAUUAUUGGGCGUAAAGAGCUCGUAGGCGGUUUGUCGCGUCUGCUGUGAAAGCCCGGGGCUCAACCCCGGGUCUGCAGUGGGUACGGGCAGACUAGAGUGCAGUAGGGGAGACUGGAAUUCCUGGUGUAGCGGUGAAAUGCGCAGAUAUCAGGAGGAACACCGAUGGCGAAGGCAG